rnacentral:rRNA from 1 species
UGGGGAAUUUUGGACAAUGGGCGAAAGCCUGAUCCAGCAAUGCCGCGUGUGUGAAGAAGGCCUUCGGGUUGUAAAGCACUUUUGUCCGGAAAGAAAUCCUUGGCUCUAAUACAGUCGGGGGAUGACGGUACCGGAAGAAUAAGCACCGGCUAACUACGUGCCAGCAGCCGCGGUAAUACGUAGGGUGCAAGCGUUAAUCGGAAUUACUGGGCGUAAAGCGUGCGCAGGCGGUUUGCUAAGACCGAUGUGAAAUCCCCGGGCUCAACCUGGGAACUGCAUUGGUGGCUGGCAGGCUAGAGUAUGGCAGAGGGGGGUAGAAUUCCACGUGUAGCAGUGAAAUGCGUAGAGAUGUGGAGGAAUACCGAUGGCGAAGGCAGCCCCCUGGGCCAAUACUGACGCUCAUGCACGAAAGCGUGGGGAGCAAACAGGAUUAGAUACCCUGGUAGUCCACGCCCUAAACGAUGUCAACUAGUUGUUGGGGAUUCAUUUCCUUAGUAACGUAGCUAACGCGUGAAGUUGACCGCCUGGGGAGUAACGG